CCUUCCUUUUUCAUUAUUAUAUCCUUAUAAUGACCUGUCUCUAUUAUGUUCCCUUUUCUUUAUUUCUCACUCUCCCCCCUCUCUCGUCUCUGUCCUCCAUUUCAUUUAUUAAAUACUAGGGUAUUGAUUGGGAACUUGAGUGCUUGCAGGCCUUUUAAUUUGUUGCUUCUUUAACCUUGAGAAGGAGGAAACCGAGAGGAAAAGAAAGAGGAGCAAACAGUUUACUCGUGGAAUGGAGCACGAAGGGAGAGGGAGAGAGUUGUCGAAGAAGCUACAUAUAAACAGAUGUCUAAGUAAACUUCCAUAUGUGUGUCUAUAUAUAUAUAUGAUCAUUCCUCUUCCAGUCGUUACUGGUAAAGUGAGAGAAAUCAUCGGACGACAAGGGAAGAUAUUAAAUCACCGAUUAAAGCUUGAUAUCUGCACACGGAGGCCAAGAAGGAAAGAGGGGUGUCGGGAAUGAAGUUUGAUCCGAAAUCAUUGAUGUCUCCGUUCCAUUUUCUGAUCAAUUUGGAUUGAUUGUGACCAAAGACAAGUAUAUAUAGAUAGAAAGAAAGAGAAAGAGAUUUGUGAUCCAAGACCACCACAUAUAUCUUAUCAUCUCUCUUACUCUCGGAUCUCUUUCGCUUUCCUUCUUGAUCUACUAAUUACUGCGCGCGCGCGCGCAUAUAUACUGUGUGUUCUUGUUAUAUUCGAUCGAUGCAUGAGGGAUCAUACGGAUGGCUGGAUCUCGGACCAGGCUUCAUUCCUCACACCUAUCUUUCCUCGUACAAGUCAUUCGUCCGCUCAUCGCCGCCGCCAUCAAGCCAAAGGGUUAUACCUCUUGUUCAAGGGCGACUGAUGCUAACGAACAGAACCAGGAGUAGUGUGCGCUUGCGCGUGUGUGUUCAUCGUCUUAUAUUCUAUACCUCUCUAUUAUUUUCAGUACUGCUUUGAAAAUUUCCACUGUUCAUCAUUUUGUUCACGAACUGGGACAACGUGCGUCUAUGUAAUGCGUGGAUUUCCACUCCUCGUAGCGAGUCUGAAACAAUAUAUAUGUGGGUGGAUACUUGUUAAGAAACCCUAGUUCGUAAACAUGUUCAUUUCUCGUGUGCACUAUGCAUUUACAAAUUCAAUGAGCAGAUAAAUGACACACACACAUAUAUAUAACAGAGUUGAUUUGCUUUGGCAAAUAUAUAUAUGUAUGUAUGUAUAUGUAUAGCGUCAUCUUCUUGGUGCCAACAGAAGCUACCAAGUGACAUGGUCUCCCUCUCCCCAGUGGCUUAACAGUAGUUCUGCUUUUCUCGUAACACUGGGCGGCCCAGAACUCGAAAACGGUAAGUAAUCUUGUCCUUGGCUUUCACUUUUCUGGGCGUCAAACACACACAAACACGAAAUGCACAGUACAGCAGCGCCUACAGGGUAGAUUUCUGGUGUAUCUGAUGACAUAUACUGCAUUGUACAGCAUGCUUGCAAAGGCAAUGUCGUUUGAUUCCGAUUCCUUGAGUUUUAAAUGCACUAAUCCAUCCCUUAAUUAUUAUUCUAUGGCACACUUACACAAGUGAGAUGCAUGCUUGCUGCUGUAUAUGCAUAAACUAUUAUUUAUUUUACUGAAUUUUAUGCUCUUCCUUUUCUUAUUCCAUUACAUGAAUUGUAAACUAAGCAACAAAACAAAACAAAAACAAAGUUCCUUACGUGGGGGGCAAAAGCCACCCACGUGAAAAAGAAGUGCAUGACAGAGCUAGGGUAUUGGCCUGAAGCGAGUGAAAUCUGGAAAUUUCCCAUUCACGGUUCCCUUUUUUUUUUUUUUUUGUAUACAUCCUUCCUUCAGAUUACCAUUUACUUUUCUUCUUGUGGAUGCGUAUACAUGUAGGUAACUACGUAUACAUGCAAAAAUAAUAAUAUGUGAACUUACUGAUGAGCUUUAUUGCAUGGAUAUAUGUAGAUGUUAGUGUUACAAUUUGUUUUUCUAUAAAAUUGCUAUUUGAGGUAAUUUUAGCCAGUUAUUUGUUUUGGCUCCAUGAGUACAUUGAUUAUGCAUGACGUAUCACUAUUUAAUUAUAAAUAUAUUAAUGUUAGGGUGCAUUUAUUAUCGGUCAGAUCACGGACGCAUCAAUUUCAUUUAAUUAUAGUAAAUGAAAACAUAUAUAUCAAUUAACCCCAUCGGCUAUAUAUGAAUUAUUGGCUUUAACGGGAAAAUAUUUCCAUAGCUAGACCCCCUCUGUGUGUGUGUGUUGUGUGUGUGUAGAUAAUAUAAUGGCUAUGAGCAUCAGAGAUAUCUUGAACUGCAACCCAAACAGUGGGCAUACUACUGCUGCAUAUAUUAUGUCCCCACAGUUAUACCCAUUUAAUUUCUUCUGUUUUACCCUUUUCAUUUUCAUCCAAACUUUUGUUUUUCUUAAUUGCACAUAAAUUUCGUAUUCAGUAACGCAUUAUAUAUAUCGGCAAGUCUUCAUUUUCUUUUCAUAUCAUAAAAUGCUAAAGUCGGCGAAGUUCAACGUAACUAAAGAAAAUAUCAAAGCAGGUCAUUGCGGGCUAUACAUGAAAAUACCCACGCAGCCCUAAGCUUUGUAUGGUUCUUGGUUGUUUAAACUUGACACGCAUGUCUUGUUGGGCUGCUGAA